AGUGAACGCUGGCGGUAGGCCUAACACAUGCAAGUCGAACGGCAGCACAGUAAGAGCUUGCUCUUACGGGUGGCGAGUGGCGGACGGGUGAGGAAUACAUCGGAAUCUACUUUUUCGUGGGGGAUAACGUCGGGAAACUUACGCUAAUACCGCAUACGACCUACGGGUGAAAGCAGGGGAUCUUCGGCCCUUGCGCGAUUGAAUGAGCCGAUGUCGGAUUAGCUAGUUGGCGGGGUAAAGGCCCACCAAGGCGACGAUCCGUAGCUGGUCUGAGAGGAUGACCAGCCACACUGGAACUGAGACACGGUCCAGACUCCUACGGGAGGCAGCAGUGGGGAAUAUUGGACAAUGGGCGCAAGCCUGAUCCAGCCAUGCCGCGUGGGUGAAGAAGGCCUUCGGGUUGUAAAGCCCUUUUGUUGGGAAAGAAAAGCAGUAGGUUAAUACCCCGCUGUUAUGACGGUACCGAAAGAAUAAGCACCGGCUAACUACGUG
rnacentral:rRNA from 1 species